rnacentral:lncRNA from 1 species
UCUGUUUAUGCUUUAUCUCCUCAAGAGAAGGAGAAGAGUAACAAGGGUUUGUGGCUGGAGAGCAUCCUUGUUCUUGAUGCAUGUGUAGUUAUGUGCAGAUGGUGUGUUGCACACUGAGGAGUGUACAGAGAACCCAAGAUUAAGUUCCCAUAGACACAAUGACCAGGGAUCCACGAGAUUGGAAACCAGUGACAUUUUAAUCUUAUUAAAACCUUGUUCUCUCAUUUGACUGCACAAUUCCAAGGCAGAGAAACAGAUCAGGCUGGCUUAUGAUUUACCAUCAUUGCAAUAUGGGCAUUCCAACUCAAAAAUGUUCCUGGAAGCAGCCCUACUUUUAGCAGGGCAGUGAAAGAAGAGGAUCAAAUAUAGCCCAGUGGUCUUCUAGAGCCAAAGCUCAGAGAGUUUGGCUUUCCAAGAGAGUGAAUUCCUCAAUCCCUGAAAUAAGCAACAGUCCUGAAGAUAAAUGGCACUUCUGCCAAGGUGAAUGGUAACACCAUACAAAACUCAUAGGUUCAUAUGCCUUUUAUGAUUCCAUGAGGCAUUUAUAAUCACAAGAAAUGGUUGAAUUGCUAAUUAGGGGUCACGGAAGUUAAUGAGGAUUCCUUCUAUCCAUCCUUUUUUCCUUUUAAUAAAUACACUUCUAACCUCAGACAAUUCCUUCCAUGAUUAUUUGAAUGUUCUAGUAGGAUACAGACCUGCUCUCCAUUCUUCCUACCUCUCAUCCCCAGUUGGCCAGCCACAGAAUAGUGAGAUUUGACUUACUGAACUUUAUUCCUUCAUACUAGAAACUAACCUUUCUUUCAACAAAUAUUUAUGAAGUGACUACCAACUCUCAGCACUGUCCUAGGUGCUGGGCAAAGAGCAGUUAACGAAUGAGAUAAAAUCACAGCCCUCAUGAUGUUUGGUAUCCAGGGAAGGUAGAUACACACCAAAUGAAAAAUACCAACAUUUCAGAUUAUGAUAAAUUCUAUAGAGAAAACGAAAGGAGGUGAAGGAAAUAAGGAAGGUAGGUAUGGGUGUACAUGAUGUAUGGGGCAGUCAGGGAAGACUGCUUUGAUGAGGUACCACUGGACAGAGACUGGAAGGAAGUCAAAAGGCAAGCCAUAUGCAGACCUGGGAAAAGAACUUUCUAGCAGAGAGGACCACAAAUGUAAAGGAUCUGAUAGAGGAGCAAGAUUUGCUUGUCUGGCAAACAACGAUGAGGCAGGAUGCAUAGGGAAAAGUGGUAAGAGAUGAAGUAAGGGAGACAAUGGGGCCAGAUUGCAUAGGGCCAUGUAGGAUAUCCUAAUGACUUUGGCUUUUCCUCUCAGUGUUGUGGGAGCCAUGGGCAGGUGUAGAGAGGAGGAGUUACAUUCUGGCUGCGAAUAGAAGGCAAGAGGCUAGGAGCAGGAAGGAGGAAUGACAGGGACUGCUGGUGGCCAUUUAAUUGCCACCUGUCUUUUCUUAUUUUAGUCCUAGAACCCUGAUUUUUUGGUGGUGGCAGUGUGCCCAGCUAAAUCUCUGUUUCUUGGAUCUCCUUUAGAACUGGACCAUAGUCCUGUGACAGCGUUCUGGCCAAAGAACUGUAAGAAGAUGAUUGGUAGCAUUUUUGGAACAGUGCUUAAAAACAGCCUACUCCAUUGGGAGGUCUUUUUUCUUCUUUUGCUUCCUCCUGUUGCCAGCUGGGAACAUAAAUACAAAGACUGGAGCCCCAGUGGCCAUCUUGAAUCACAAGGUGACCUUUAAAACGAUGGUGGAACAGAAAGCUCUGGUAGCUCCCCGAUGAGUGCAUGAAGAUGUCUUACCAACUCUGCACUGCCUAUUUCUGGACUUGUUUCACACGAGAGAGAAAUGCACUCCCGUUCUGUUCAAGUCAUUGCUAUUUGGGAUUUUUUAGUUAUAUAUGGUUGAACCUAAAUAUAACUGAUACAGGAGCCCGUGGCAAUCCUCCAGGUGAGAGAGAUGGUGGACCAGAGUGGUAGCACAGGAAAUCAGGUUCUGGUUAUGUUUUUGAAGGUAGAGCCUUUAGAUUUUGCAGAUGGCUUAGACAUAGGAGUGAGGGGAAGAGAGAAAGUAAGGAAGACUUCUGGGUUUUGCAACAAGUGUCUUGCUGGUGCCAUUAAUUACAGAGAUGCAGAAGGGUAGAAAGAGAGCAUGGCUGGGUAUAAGGUGGGCUUGGGCAGAAUCAAGAGUCCAGGGCAGUGGCAAAUUGGCCUCGCUCAAAGCAGGGAGGGACACAGUGAAACAGGAGGGUAGGGAGAGAGCAUGGGCCAUACGCCAGUGGAAAAAUGAGGGAGCUCCUGUCCAAUGCUUCCAUUUUCUCAAUAAAGUACAAGGCCAGGUCAUCAGCUGAGACUGAAGGGAUGGAAGUAGAGGGUGGAGAUGGGAAGAGAGAGAGAGAGAGAAAGGAGGGUGAGUAGUCAUUUUAGAGCAUGGGAUUGCUGGGCAGCAAUGAACGAGUUUCGCUACACAUCUGGGGUAGUUUAAAGUGAAGCAGUCAGCAGUACUGUGUGUCUUUCUGCAGUCCAGUUCCGGUGACACUGCUGGGUUUCACAAGGUUUGGCCAGGCAAGUUCGUACUAUGUAAACUGGAAGGAACCAGGGAGUGAAGGGGUGUCUGUAAGACAGGGAUCACAAGGAAGGAUCAGGAAUCAAAACUGGAGAAGGAAGCAAGUGAACACACAAGAGGAAGGAUGGACUGAAAAGUUGACGAUCCUUGAAAAGGCUGAGAAAUUGCCAGAGUGAGGGGACUCAAGGAGCUAAGCAGGACAGAAGCUGAUGGUCAGAGGGUGCUACUGCUGAAAAGGAGUGGCUCCGAUGAGACAGAGGACAAGUCACUGAAGAGAAAAGGAAUGAAGAAGCUCGAGAUAUUGGAGGGGAGGUUAAGGUGUUAACUAAACCAUAUUCAAUAUAAGACUAAUAAUAGAACACUGUUGCCAAAUUCCUAUAAUUAGUUGAUCUAUUAAGUGGUUUCAAUAAAGAUACCAUUCAUCAGGGUAUUUUAGAUUAAAAGUUUGUUUUUCUUUUUUGAUGGGACUUUUAUAGGACUUCAAAGAACAAAGUUUUACGCCCAAAUCUAUGUCUCUGUUAGGUGAAAAUUCAAGGCAUUUUUUUUUCCGCAUGAAACUUCUUUGUAUCUUGGUUUCUACUCCUUCCUGCAUUUUUGAAGGUGUCCAUUAAUGUGAUCUUUGAAAAACUGACCUGCUUUUUCUUUCUAAAAUUCUUCACGUCACAGUGUGUUUCUUCUAAGCUGGGUCUGCCCCUUGUACCUGCCUCACAACUUUUUCACAAUGGAAAAAAACCAUUUAUUCCCAUAUUUACUUACUUUUACAGCUGUUUAUUUCCUUUCUUCCUGCUUCAUCUCCCUGUUAAAACCUCACUCUUGCUCAGAUUCCUUUGUUGGGGGGAAAGAAUUGGAAGGUUUCCCAAAUCAUUCUGGGAGAGAAGUCUCUAGACCCCGGGCAGGCCUUGUGAGCACGCGGGAUCUUGCACAGUACAUCUAAUGAAAAACAUUCAUAUCACAGGGCUGGGCCACAGGUACAGGUCCCAUUUGUCAAAGGUGGUCUCUGAAACAUUAUCAGCAUUGCUUUGCUCUCCCAUCCCUCAGUCCCUCUUCAUUAACUCAAAAAUUAUUAAUUGAGAGCCUAUUCUGGGCUACUCAGUGUGGUGAUUAAAGUAAUUCGCAUUAAUGGGCAAUGACUGAUUGGCUUAAUUCUCUCAGGGGCAUUCACAUUUCUCAGAUGUGCAUAUUAAUCCACAGAAAUCUCUGAUUCAUGGAAUAAAUGUGAAACAAACCAUUAACAGUCUAUUUUGGAUUUUUGGUGAUAGAACAAAGGGGCUGCCCUUUGCUUGGGGUCCCAAAGCAGCCUCUGGUCUCUGAGAAAGUGGGCUAGGACAAAAGAACUAGAAGGUAGAGCUUAUGUGUGUGUGUAUGGCACUACCCACCUCAUUUGUAACUCCCUCCAGUUUAUGAUCUGUGUGUCCUCUUCACUCAUUUCAAACCAAGCACAAUUUAUAUAUGGAUUAUUAUGGUUAAAUCAUAUUGUUCUUAAAUUAGAAGCUCUUGAUCUCAGGAUCCUAUUCCCUAGUUUUCCACAGAAAAGUUUUCAGAUAUCCACCUUUAAAAAGAUUUUCAGGAGGGAUCCCUGGAUGGCGCAGCGGUUUGGCGCCUGCCUUUGGCCCAGGGCGCGAUCCUGGAGACCCGGGAUCGAAUCCCACGUCGGGCUCCCGGUGCAUGGAGCCUGCUUCUCCCUCUGCCUGUGUCUCUGCCUCUCUCUCUCUCUCUCUCUCUCUCUGUGACUAUCAUAAGUAAAUAAAAAAUUAAAAAAAAAAAAAAAAAA